AGUGAGCGCUGGCGGUAGACCUAACACAUGCAAGUCGAACGGCAGCACAGUAAGAGCUUGCUCUUACGGGUGGCGAGUGGCGGACGGGUGAGGAAUACAUCGGAAUCUACUUUUUCGUGGGGGAUAACGUAGGGAAACUUACGCUAAUACCGCAUACGACCUACGGGUGAAAGCAGGGGAUCUUCGGACCUUGCGCGAUUGAAUGAGCCGAUGUCGGAUUAGCUAGUUGGCGGGGUAAAGGCCCACCAAGGCGACGAUCCGUAGCUGGUCUGAGAGGAUGAUCAGCCACACUGGAACUGAGACACGGUCCAGACUCCUACGGGAGGCAGCAGUGGGGAAUAUUGGACAAUGGGCGCAAGCCUGAUCCAGCCAUACCGCGUGGGUGAAGAAGGCCUUCGGGUUGUAAAGCCCUUUUGUUGGGAAAGAAAAGCAGCAGGUUAAUACCCCGCUGUUCUGACGGGACCCAAAGAAUAAGCACCGGCUAACUUCGU
rnacentral:rRNA from 1 species